rnacentral:rRNA from 1 species
CCUACGGGAGGCAGCAGUGAGGAAUAUUGGUCAAUGGGAGAGAUCCUGAACCAGCCAAGCCGCGUGAGGGAAGACGGCCCUAUGGGUUGUAAACCUCUUUUGUCGGGGAACUAAACACGGGACGUGUCCCGGACUGCGUGUAUCCGACGAAAAAGCAUCGGCUAACUCCGUGCCAGCAGCCGCGGUAAUCCGGAGGAUGCGAGCGUUAUCCGGGUUUAUGGGGGUUAAAGGGUGCGUAGGCGGUCCGUUAAGUCAGCGGUAAAAUUGCGGUGCUCAACCCCGACGAGCAGUUGAAACUGGCAGACUUGAGUUGGCGAGAGGUACGCGGAAUGCGCGGUGUAGUGGUGAAAUGCGUAGAGAUCGCGCAGAA